GGCCUGGGAUGUCUCCAGGGAUGGUUCAUCCACCACCUUUCUGGCCAACCUGGGCCAGGCUCUCACCACCCUCAGGGGUGACAAUUUCUUCCUCAUGUCUGGCCUGAAUCUCUCUCCUUGAGUAUAAAACCAUCACCCCUUGUCCUAUCACAACAGGCACUGAUUAAAGUCUGUCCCCAUCUUUCUUAUCAGCCCCUUUGAAGUACAGAAAGGUGCAAUCAUGUCUCCCUGGGGCCUGCGAGGUCCUGUCAGAAGCUGCUGUCACACACCUGCAGGCAGAUGCUGCAGUGAGAAUCGCUCUGUUACACAUCAUAGCAGCAAGCUAAGAACAUGCUGACUUUUGUGGAUGUCAACAAUCCUCGACAGUUACAUGAAGAUGUAAAAUUGAAAGCAAUACCAAAUGGAAAGCAUGCAGCCAUACAAAUCAAUCAAACACUGUGAGGUUUAGGAAUUAUUUCACGACAGUCCUAAAAAGUUCAACCUGGAGCACAGAAAGCAUUUGGGUAUUUUCAUUUAGAAAUCACAUUGCUCGAUUUCAGGCUGAGUGGCUCUUUCAGGAUCGUGGGAAAUUUCAUUCAAACUCCAGCGAUUUGAACACACACAUAGAGAAGAGGGUGAUGUUUGAAAGAUGACCCUGCCUGUGUCAGACCUCAUUCUUUGCCAUGGAGCCUGACACAGUUAGGGCUGAUUUGUGAGAGCAUUUGGCGCUAUUGUUGCUUUUUAUCGUAUCAUACAACAUAUUUCUCAAAAUCUCUCUGAAAUUUUCAAGGUGCAACAAUAGCAUGCAGAUCUACACUCAGUGCCUUAAACACACAUCAAACAGUCUAAGUUACUCACGUAAGAAAAAGAUGGACCUUGCUGUAUUGAAUAACGUGGUAUAAAACAAGUGUCAGUAUCAUUUCCAUUACACAAACAUUUUUAUUGUUUUUCCUGUAUUAAAAUAACCAACACACAGUUUCCGUGCAAAUAAACCAGGAAUACAAAUAAAGACAAUCUAUUGCGGACAUACCAAGAGUACAAAUACCAUUAACGUAUACAGAGCAAUUUAACUGAAGAAAAUGAAAAACCUUGAAGCACAGGGAUGAGAUUUGGAUCCAGUUCCAGGGUAGUCUCCCAGGACUGGAGAAGGACAGGUAUUUUUAUGUUAAAUCCCCAGUUUCUCUCUGGUGCAACUGAGGCAUUUUGCUAUUCGUUAUUUUUUAAUGACUGAAAUUGCAGUGUCAGUAGUCCCAGUCACUGAAUUACUAUUUGUCAGCACUUUAUAGAACAACUUAGGCUUUCGCUCAGCUCCCAUCUGCUGGGUAUGUGCCUUCAGGUCUGUCUCAGGGCCAGUUUAAUCCCGAGACUCAUGUAAUUCCCGAGAGGCAUCAGCAGCAACCGCAGUUCCAUGCCCAUUAGGAAUGGCCUGGAAACCACAAGUUCAUUUCCCCCAACCACUGAGCAGUGACCCAGUAGGAAGAAAUAUGUUUUUUUACAUAAACAUUCAACAAAGGAAAAUGCUUUUAGUCUUGGACUGUUUCCACUAAAUUUAAUCCCAGAUUUCUAGAAAAUACUACCCAAAUGGACAUGUACUCCCUCCCCUGCCCAAAAGCAGAAUCUCCUUUAGACAAACAGCAAUUAUUUAAGGUGAAGGAGGCCGGGCUGCACACCCUGUGCUCCGGAGUCCUCUACCUGUGGGCACAUAGGGUGUGUGACCUGCGCAUUUUGACUUUUGUUUCCCACUGUCCUACUAAUUACUUAUUUUGAGCCGGUCAUGCAUUUGGGACACACUGAAAUGUCUUCCUGAAUUAAGCCUGUUUUGUCAUUAAAGUGAAUUGCUACAUUUUCAUUACAGAAGCUUGAUUAACAUCAAAAAGCUGGAAAUGACGUAGGACCUGGAGUUGUACCAUUGAGAACAGCAAAGGCAGUUGUGAGCCUCAGCCACUCUAAUGAUCUCCAGGAACCACGCAGGUAUAACUCAUGUUGUGGUUCAGAGCAAGAAGACAAACCUUAGUCACUAAGGCAAGGCUAUGACAAAUUUUGAAGGAACAAAUUGCUUUAAAAAAUUGUGCCUUUCCAAAUUGUUCUCUCUGACAGGGGAGUAAAAAUAAAAGACAAGUUUUAUACUGUGACUCUUUGCUAGUUAGUAAGAAAACUUGCUAACAAAGUCAGUCAAAACUUUGGAAGUUUAAAUGCUGGUAUAUAUUUUUGUGAUGUGUUCGGACAAUGUCUUAGUUAAAGGCUUUCCCAAACUUCUUAUUUGCCAUGGACCAAGGGUGAAAUAAGGACCUGAGCCCUUGCAGAUUUCGAGUCCUUCAUGCCAGGAUAUAAAUAGGUGCUAUGCAUAUGGAAAGCUAUGAAUAUUUCUCUUCUGGUGAAGUCCAUUCUGAUUUGAUGCCUAAGGGGGUGUCAAACUGAAGGUUUUUUUCCAUAAACAUAGAGCUGUGACGUAACUGUGUACUCUUAACAUGUCGACUGUUUGGCAAGCUCCAGCGUGGACUUGCUGUUAGCACAGUCUGCUCAGAACAGUCCUAACGGGCUGCAAGAGGAAAAGUUGAAUAUGGAAGAGCUCACUUACAGUGAUGGUGGUGUCCUUUUUGCCCUUAUGGGAUGAAGCAACAACAGCCAGGUACUGAAUGACCUUUUUGGUGUUUUCUGUCUUGCCAGCACCAGAUUCACCUCUGAGGGGAAAGAAAAUAAUGCAAAAGAAGGUCAGUGAGUAGUGGACUCCUUCUGCCAUGUGGUGUAUUUAGUGUAUAAAAACAGGACUGGAAGCUGCCUGGCUCAGUUAGUAUUUACCCCAAAACACCACCUCUCCAAAUCCACCCAAGUGCAGCACACAAAGAACACAUUAUCAGAGCUGUAUUUCUGCCCGUGAGUAUUUUCACUGGACGUUGGGCCAUUUAAGGCAAUUCUAAAACAUGAUGCAUUUUUGAACAGCGGUUCAUCUUGCUUUGGCAGCAUCAGAACAUUUAUGAGAAACGGAGCUGGCAAGGAGUCUGCUUGUAUUUUAAGGGCAAAAAAAUACAACGUUAAGUAUGAUGUUGUGCAGCAGUAAAAAAAAACCUCAGCAGUAAUACAACAGAUUUCUCUUCUGAAACACUGAUAUUAGACUAAUGGCUUAUAUCGGUGCUGGAGAACAAGUGAAUGAUCCUGCCUCAUCUCAACUCCAUGGUCUAACACUCCUUGAGCUCAGUGGGACCAGAUCUGAGAUGGGUGCUGAGGGACACGGCAGGACCGGUGUCCCAGCUGUGCUCCCCACGGUGUCCCUGGGGACGCAGGAUGGUGGCAGUGACCCCUCACUCCUGGGACAACUUCCAGGCUUAAGUUUAUUUACAAUUCUUGAGCUCUCUCUUAAAGUAAAACACUGGCUUUCAAAGCACUGGUGCAAGGUCCAGAUUUACCCAGUCUUUUCUCAGGAGAACGUUUCCAGCCUGCUUUUCCUUCUCUCAGUGUCACGUUACAUCAUCUCACAUCUUUUAGAUACCUUUGGCUCUGAUGAUUAUAUAGACAGAAAUGUUUUUGUGCCUGCUGCCCUGUUGCAGCAAUCAAAAAGGGCAUUAAAGUGAGUGUGGAUGUAAUGAACUAUUUCUUCCAACCGUACCAAGCUGGUGCUCUGAGGAGGGCAACAGUCUGAAUGGAAGUCAGACCGCUUUGGCUUUAAAUUAAAAUGGAUUUAAAAAUAAAAAGAACAAUACAUUCAAAAAUCCCAUGGAUAUUUGUCAGGUCUUUUGAAGCUGAAGCUAUAUAGCUGGAUCCAUUGCAGUUCUGCUUCUUUCCCUAAUUAGGAAAUAUAGGAGUUAAUUUUCCCUACCAUGGGACCAGUGAUAAAUUAACAUUAAAAGUAUGAGUAAGUGCUGGACAGAACUUUCAAGAUGGGAUGACAUUGAUGUAAACCUUAGAAAACCAGAAACAAAUCCUGCUUGAGGUACAACACGAUUAGAGGUGUUUCUUCUGGCUUUUAGAGUUUUAACCCCAGAAAUAAUUGAGAUGAAUACAUUCCUUUUCACAAGACCUGGGUUAAUUUGCACAGUUUAGAGGCUGAAUUCGUCUUUGCCUGGGCUUCAGUGCUAAAACAUUUCCAUGUUUUAUUGAUAAGAAUUAAGUGUCCUGGGAACAAUUCCAAACCAAGCACACCAAUUUGAAGACAUAUGCAUACAAAGUUUUCAAAUAAAUCUACCUUACAACUUUGUUUCUCUGGAAAAAAACAAAACAACCCUCUCUUCAAACAAACCCCCGGCUUUGAACUAUUCAGUUUUAUUAAAGGUUAUUUGUAGUUCAUCACUCCAUGAGUUGCAUUUCCUUUCUCCCAGGGCAACAGUGCCCAUCAUUUGGCUUUCCCCUGAAUCCCUGUGAGUAUUACCAUAUAUGGCAUCAUUUUACUUGUAAUUAUCCUACCAUACUGUAAUGCUUCAGUUACUUCACAUUUUGUUCUGUGCUUUCAUCAUUAACUCUUUGCUCCUGCACAGGCUGAGGGUUUUUGCAUUUUCUGCAGAUAGAUUUUGAGGCUUUAACUUCCUUUUGAAGUGGACAGUAAAAAGUUCUUCAGCAUGAAAUGGAAAAGCUUCAACAUAAAAUGGAAAACAGACAGGAUCUCAACAGCUACAAGUAGGAAAAAAAUCUCUAAGGUCAAUGAGUAACAAAGAAUAAUGUCUAUACAUGAUGAAUACAUCUAAUUUUUCAACACAUCAGAUCAUUUUUAGAUGUCCACGACAACAGGCAGGCCUCAUAAACAAGUGUCCAUUAACCAACAUCAGUAGCCCUCAUACUCUGCAGGAUGCACCACAGCUGUGUGACAGCAUCUCGAAUACAUCUGGGUAAUAAAAUACCAAGUGCUUGCAAACUAAUGAGGAGAAAUGGCUAGAUCAGGGUCAGUGCCUCUAAGCAUGAAGCAGCUUCCAAGGGGAAGGAUCCAGGGGGAAGACAGAAUGUGAGUCUCUUACUUCGCUUCACAGGUGAAUAAAAUUCUUCCGAGAACUAUUGAGCCACAACAGAAUUGGGUGUGCUGGUUUUUUUCCUCUGCCUUGGCUCUGAAGUCCCAUCAUUUCUGGGGCAGCAGAAACAGCUUUCCUUGUGAGCUGGUAUGAGGAAUCCCACCUGAUUUUAUAUCUACAUGCUGUUGAGCUCAGUGACUGAAUUUUUCAAGAUGGGUCUUUUUCUUGCGAGCAUCUUUCAGCAGAUUUGGCAUGGACCACAGGCAACAGGGCUCCUCUCUUUGGGGUGCCCGUUAUCCUCAGUCUGUACCCCUAAAUUAUCUUCCAAAGUGGGAGUUAACCAUACAAACACUGUUACCACUGUCCUAACCAUGAUCUUUUGGGAGGAGACUGAGCAUUUGUUUAACUGAAACAUCUCAAAUAAUUCUUCUUGCCUGCCAUAGGCAGAGGCAGCACAUUCACCGCCAGUGCCGUCCUUUGCACCCAGCUCAGAUGGGCAACACAAAAACCAGAUCCAAAGCAGGUCCCAGUGCACAGCUCUGAUCAGCCCAGCAGCACAACUUAAUCUACUUCCCAAACACGUUUUCCUCCUCAGAAACUCCUUGGCAUUCCCAGAGCAAAAGGGUCCCCAGGCUUACAGGCUUGCUUGUUUAAAAUGCCACUCUCACAUUGUGCGGCACAGUUUACAUUUGUCACUCCCUCCUUUCUUGCCAGGCAUUGUUUUAGGAACUCAGUACAGGACUUAAAGCACAUAAGCUCACAUAAGCUAUAAUGGAGUUUUUGCACAACAUGAGCUGCUAAAUCCUCUGUGACUGCAUUCCCUCCACCUCAAAUUAAAAUUAUCCUGUUUAGAAUAGGUUUUCAAAGUGGAACAAGGUGAGAUGAACAUGUUGGCCCCACUGUUGUGGGCUGAGCCUGUGAUGUAGCUAGGAUUCUUGUAUGUUCGGGUAGAAAUGGGAAAAAAAUGUUUCGAAAGGGUAUUUUUUUGUUGAAAUUUUGAAAGCUUUUUGUAUUAAUAUUAUAAGACUUAGCUUAAUUCCGCUUUUGGAAACAUCUAAAAAGCAACAGCAGAAUUUAUUUUCAGCAUUUGUUUCAGUAACCGAUGAACCACAAAGAUCGACCGUUCGCACAUCUCUUAAUGCGGCUGUGCUGGCGCUGCGGGAAGGCUCCGCGCAGGAGCGGGCAGAGAGCUGCUUAAAUCCCAUCAGGGCUUGGCAGAUCUUUGUCCUGGCCCAACUGUACCCCCCUGGGGACCCAGCUCAGAAGCCAGCCUGCUGAGCCGACUAGUUUACUGCUAAAAACCCUCCCCGAUUCAACGGAGCUGGUUCAGCACCAAGUUCCACUGCGGGCUGGAGCUGCCCCAGACGUGCGGGCAGGAGCAGGGCCAGGCUGAGUGAGAUUUACUGAGCUGGGAAAGAACAGAGCUUCACGCUUUCUGGAGGAGUCUUUUGAGUAAUGGGACUGUGCGGUUUGGAGGAUGCUCUGGAUUACAGGGAGGAAGCAGAUCGAGGUCCCGUGGACGGAGAGUUCGCCCAAAAAGAGAGAGGGGAUGAAGGGGAAAAGGGCGGGAUGGUCACCGCCUCACCCCAAAUUUUGUCUGUCACUGUACUGAAUUAAGUGGAAAAAGUACCGUGCUACUAUGUUUUAAUAGAAGCUAUUCAAACUAAAUGCACGUAUAAAAAAAGUAAAAGGUAACAAAAAGCUAUUUGAUUAUAAAUUAUUUAACAAGUUUUCACAGUCUUCACAUUACCCCAAACAUUCAGAAUUUUGAUCAGAUUUCUUUUUCUCGUUUAUUUAAGGUUCUUUCUUCUUUAGCUGAAGCUUGUGCACAGUCCUCUUAGCCAUGUCUGCUUUGUAGAAAAUAUUGUGCCCACUCUUUUCAGAAAGUGGCCAAAAUGUGGUUACCCCAGGAUGAAGCAGGUUUAAGGGGAGAUCUCUAAAACACUCCUGUGCUUAGCCAUGCAAGUAACACCUGGGGAAUUUUUAGUAAAAUACCUUUUGUAAACUCAGUAGAAUCCACUUGCGUCUGUAGAAACUGAACAACUUAAAGUCUAGAAGUCUCCUUUGAGGGCUGGUGCCUCUCGUUACAUUGGAAGAAGUUUGAAAAGGGGCCAAGCCUGGACUGGCCAUGGCUUAGUCCGAUUCACGCUUAGGUGUUGAUGCACCAAGGUUGCUCAGGUGUCUGAGCAACUGGAGGGAUUUCUGGGGAUUUUUCCUUCAGCAAUAUCUAGUGUGCUGGUCAACACAGACCAGCAUUGUCUUUGCAAGAGCAAACACAGAUUAUUGUGUGGCAAAGUCCAGUGUCAAUGUCAAAAGAGUACAGUGGCAACCAGGAAUUUCAGGGAAUCCCAGUAGCCAGGCAGAGCAGUGGGAGCUGCCCAGAACAGGGACCAAAACACAAGGAUGCAAAAGUCUUAACAGCCUUAAUUCUCAGACACAUAAAAUAAUAAGAUUUCAUACCCUCAGUGCAGUGUUAGAUAUUGUAUAUUUAUUAUAUAUGUUAUACUAUGCCAUGUUACAACACGAAAAUGCAGCCACACAUGUAUUAGUAAGCACAGCCAUGGUAUAAAGUUUCUUAUGUUCCAGAGAGGCAGGUUCCACAUGUACAUGUUAGGAUGUGGGGUUUUAUGGCUGGUUGUAAAGCGGCAGAGAACUGGGAAUGACAUGAGAGGACGGUCCACGAUGCUGCCCAUGGGAAAGGGCUGACAGCGAGAAGGAUGUGAGCACAGGGGAGAGCACAUCAAAGGCACUGUGCAUGUAGUUAUUAACAAAAUGUAGAGGAAAUAAUGAAAUCUAGGAAAGACGGGAAUUCUGAGGAAGCAUUCGAACCCAUUAAAGACAGAUGGAGCAUUUUAAACAUGCCGCAGUUAAUCACACAAAGGGUAGGGAUUGCAAAAGAAUGCAAACAAUACUUGACCACAUGAGGGGAGGCUCAAUGAGCUGAGUGUGAAGUCCUGAGGAUGGGUAUAUUUAUACUCAGAAACCCAGAAUCACUCUUAGUUCUCGGAUCUGUGCCCCAGCUGAGUCCCAGGCACUGAGGCCUUUGCUGCUAUGGGAGCUCUGCUAAAAAUGGAAUCAUUUUGCAGAAGCGGUACAAAGCACACAGCACAGUGUAUUUAAAAAUAAAGUGCACUGUUUCUGCUUGCAGUUUGUCACCAGUGUUUUGGCUAUCCCACUGGGUUCCCAUCAGGUAAACAGCAAAAAGUGGGAGGUAGGUAGCAAUAAGUGGAAGAAUGCAAGAGUCUGCACUGCAGCCUCACUACACGUAAGUGAAUUUUUGGCAGCAUCCACAACUACUUAAGUAUGAAAUCUUACAGCUGCACUUUUUACAAUCUAGGUACCAGGCUUUGGACAGUUUGAGUCUGUAGCUAUUUAAAGAAAAGAUCCCUGCUGAUCAAUGCCACGAAGUCUUCAGUUAUUGUUACAUAGUUUAAGCAAAAAGAUAAUUUCUUGGAAUUUUUAGCAAUUCUAUAAAAUAGUGCAAAUUGCUUCUGCUUGAAAUCUGCCCAGCUGAAAGCCAAGUGAAGCUUCUUCUUUCUGUACAUCCAAAUAAGGCCAACAAGGAUGAUAAACCAGUUGUGUACAUUGGUUUUAGCUUGACUAAUCUUUUUGGUUUAAAAGACGCGUGAGGACUGUUUUAAGCUGUGGGUCACGGUGCCCAUCCAACAUACAGCAGUCAUUCUAAACAUCUGGAUGAGUCACUUACUGCAGCUGUUUUCAAAAUAGGAAAGACAUUUAAUUCUCUCUAUUCUAUGUGUUACUGGUGUGAAACACCUUAUGUUUCCAGCUGAGCUGGCCAGGUGGAAGAAAAAUAGUAUUUUGAAUGUAUGGUGGAUAUCAGAAAUGGAGCCUUUAGUGGAUUUUCAUGAAUAAAAAGACAUAGAUUUACAAAAAAAAAAAAAAAAGUGCCCUUUUUUAGAAAUCCUAAUAGUCCAAAUCUUAAAGAUCUGAAGACUUACUAAUGGAAAAAUAAACUAAAGUACAGGAAUAAAAGGAGGAAAUGCAUAUUAUAAAUUAAUCUUCAUAACCAUGACAUGUUUCAUCCUGGGAAGAAUAUGAUGGUCAAUUUUUAUUUCAUCAUUGCUGCAAGUUUAGGUUUGUUUGUUUGGGGGUUUUUGUUUGUUUGUUUGUGUUUCUGUUUGUUUGUUUAUUAAUGUGUUUUUAGAUAGAUUCUUGAUUGGUAUACUUGCAUGCAAUGAAAUCUUGUUACAACAGAGGUCAGAGCUAUGCUGGCCCUUAUGCUACUGGUUACAUAUAUAUAUAAUUUCCACUUUUUCUUAGAUGAUGAAUGUUUUCCAGUCAACAGUGGCACUCAAAAGUAGCUGUCUGGCUGGUGGCCAGUAGCAAUGCUUUUAAAAAACUGUAGUAACAAUACAUAUUCAGCCAGUCAGUAGCCACAUUUUCACUGAUAAGCUAAAAUGAGUUCAUUUUGGGACUGUGUGUAUUUACAGUACUUGACAAACUACGGCACCACUGAAUGAACCUUUAAGUGAUACGCAUGCCCUCUUCUGCAAACAAUAAUUAGUCUUUACACAAAAUCAGCUCCUGCCUUUGACCAGGAAAACUGGAAGAUGCCUAAUACAACAAACACAACUUUUUGUCAAAAGCAUCCUUGAUGGCAUUCAAGUAAAUAAAACCAACUAACUGGCUACAGAGGAACAGAGAAAAGGCCAAAACUGAAGGUCAAGGAGGAGAUCCCUGGCCAAUUCAAUAGUCAGAGUGUUUUGCAAAAUAGGUAGGAAUGCUAAAGCAAUGGGAUUUUGUGCAGCAGUAAGUUACGGCCAGCAAAGCUUAUUGCGAUAAAAUCACUUUCUGACCCACGGCACAACAGCUGAGCCCCCAGGCUGCUGCAGUCCGAGAGCUGGCAGCUCAAAACUCAGGGAGGCUUCAGCAAGCGGGACACGGGGAAAUCAGAGAAUCCAAAGCAGGCCUGGCUUAGCUGGUCUUUCACUCUUGCCUAAAGCAAUUGCAGACUGCAGGAGGGUCCAGCUCGUGUGGAGCAGCUGAGCCCUGAGCCAAACCCCAGGAACCACACUGCCUGUCCAGCUACAACACACACCAACAGCACGGAACUGCAGCACCAAGAAAAUAUGUACAGUGGGAACUGACUGGGGAAGCGAUGGUGAGUUACCAACAGCUGAAGAUGAAAAGCAGUUCAGCAAAUAGCCGGGGUGCUCUGUGCUCCUCACUUUUCUCCAUUUCUCAGCUUCCUCUAGGACACUCUUAAAAUCCCUUGUUCUGUCUGCACAUACAGUUUUACAACCACACUCCUCAGUUGUUUGCUGUAAGCUCUUAAAUCUCUGAAUUCAGAAAGUCAAUGUAAAUAAAUACGUUUGUGUGUUAAAGACUUCCUAUGGCACUGAUACCUGCUUUUUAUUUUAUCAACAGGUAAAUGGACUGGGACUGGAGUUCAGCUCACUGAAGGUGUGGAGAAUAUAUCAGUUCAAUCAGAAAUGUAAUACAUUUUGAAUAAAGAAACAUACUGUAAUAUUGAUAUAUACUAAAAUAGAUCAGUUUACUUACGUGCACAGGAUAGACUGGUCUUCUCGAUCUGUGAAUAAAGAAAAAAAUCUGUUAAUUAGGGAAAACGGCUAUGUCCUGACAAAAGCACUUAUAAGGAUUUACAUUGAACAGCCUAGACUUUCCAAAAUCCAUGAUUAGUCCAAGGUACUGGGUUCACAUCUUACUUAAUUUGCCCUUCCAUUUAAACUCGCAUCUCUAAUGGAAAUAUUUUGUACAAAAGAUGAACAAAAGGUUAAGAGUUCAAAAAUAUUUUUUUUCAAAUUCCAUUAGAAAUGAACUGUAAUGAGGACAGCAGAGAGAUCAGGCUCUCUCUAAGAAGAUUAUAGCUGAAAAUUUCUAACCUGAACCUCCAGUCUUUACUACACUUAUGAAGUAUGGCUGGCAUCCCACUUGAGACAAAGUCUGGACAGAUAAGGCAUCAAAACCUAAAAUGUUUUAAGCUGGCCAUGUAAAGCUUUAAACUUUGAAAGCAGAGCAGUUCAAAGACCCAAAUGAUGUACUCCAUUUCAGACCAAGAGACAACUUUUAUCAAGAGGACAAGCAAUUUCUCUGAGAUAUCUCCCAAAGAAUAAGAAAAGCAAGAUACUUCACAAAAUUCGCCAACAAGUAGAGGAGAGGAUGAGACUGUGAAGGGCUGUGAUUCCCAGGGGACAAGCCUGCAAUAGGACCAGCAAUCUGCAGACACUGAGGCUGGAUUCACCGACGGAUGAAGUUUCCCUGAGACACCUGAACAAGUCGACUGCUCUUGGCCAAGUGGCCCUGGUCACAAAGUACCAGAAUAAAAAAUAAAGCCUUGAGCAGCCUGCCCUUGAAGUUACUCCUUGCUGAAUUUGCACUGUAAAUAUUGUACUUGAAAAACAAAACAAAACAAGAGGUCUCAAGAAGGAAAGAAAUGAACUUUCAGCUGCCUUACCACACUGUAACCUGAAUACAAUGGAGGGAAAAAAGAAAAGCACGGAUGGUGAUGUUAGUUUGUUAAAUAAUGUGUGUCAGGUAAGCAAUUUUUUUUGUUUAAAGAUGUUUUUAGCUAAGCUUACCAACCAUGUUUCUCUAAGCUGCUGUGUGUAAUUGCAGCUGCCUGGCGUAGCGGGGGUCACCACCUGUGCUCCUGCGGCAGGAGGGACACUGCGCCCAAACCAGAACCAUCCACUCAUCUGACGAGGGGAAAGAGUCACCAAGUGCCUGAUGUUGAGGGUUGUGCUGCUGGGUGCAGGUCAGGAAGUGCAUGAAGCACACGGGGCAGUUCUGACCCAGCCGGACACCAGUGGCUGCUGGCAACACGGCUUUGCAAGCGUCAACUAAGAGUUGGGGGUUUCUUUUCCUAAACAUAAUCACCCCACGAUAAUCACCCCUCCGGAAACCUGAGCAACAGACACCGAGAUUCAGCUCGAUACAAAGGGUGUGCAGGAAGGAAACGUAACCGACUCCUCGGAGCGUGUUGAUAAAGCUCAGAAAAAAAUGUCCCCAGUGCGCGACAGAACCCAACACCUCUGGAACGGUGCUGGGGAGCCUGUGAACAGCAUUUCUUCUGAUGCCAGGGGAGAGAAAAUAUUCGGUUUUAAUUUUUUUUUUUUUUUUUUUUUUUAAACUUGUGGGUUAAGUUCUUCCAAAGCACUUUCCAGAUCUGAUAUCCACACCAAACUUCACUGGCUCCUUGUCACCUUCACUUGUGAUACCAAGCUCAGACAAAGAACAGCCUCUUUGAACACAGGUCUCUCUGCAGCAGUCUCACAGUGUUCUGUCUCCAAUAAAAUUCAGAAAUGCAUUUUGCUCUUUAAAAUCCCCAAACUUCUAUAUGCUUGUAUCUCUUUUUUUUUUCAGUUUUGUGGUAUCAGUAGAAAGAAUAAGGGCAUUUAAUGCAAGACAUCCCGGUCUGUAAUUAGGCUGGACAGACUUCAUAAAUUCUUUGGGAAAAUAAGUUUUGUGCAUGCUCAUCUAGGUGGCGAUUUUGUCUAUAACCUGAACCUGUGACUCUCGGACUGUGAAUUAUUUUUACCUAAAUAUUGAUCUUGCUCCUUUAGGGAUGAUUUUUUGGGAAGUGCAGCCACAGUGACCAGGCUUUGCGAUCCCUCUUCAGCUGUUCCCGAGCGAGGCCGCCUGGUGUUCACAGGAUACCGCAUCUGCAUCUUGAAAGAUGCUCUUAUGUACCCUCAGGAUUCACACCUUUCCCUCCGAGCUCGCUGGAACGCCCUUGGAACAGCCUCUGCUUUCCAGCUGUGGAGAGCACGAGCCCGUUGAACCGUGCGCUUGGCAAAGAGCCUUUGCUGUCUUCAACCAGAACAACAAUCAUAUUUGAUUUUUACCACUAAAAACCCACUUCCCAUGGAGCUCCGUGGCACCUGGGCAGUGCUGUGUGAUGCGUGGUGGGCAGAUGGAAAGCAGGGGUGAUGGCUUGGGUGACAGGGGAAGAUCUGCACAGCAUGGAAGGUCGGAGCUUGUUUCCCACAGCCUUUUGCCUUGCCAUUGAAAAGACAAUUCAGAUUCCAGACAGAACAAUUUGACCCUCUGGUUUACGGAGAAACAGGGGUUUAGAAUUUAACCCCUGGAAAACCCAAGUUAAAAACACAAGCACUUCUGUGGCCAAUCAUAUCUGCAUUGUUCAAAAGCUGAUUUGCGCAACUUUCCAUGGAUGCACUUUCAGCUCACUCCAAAAUUUGGAACGUAAUUUGCAAAUAACAGCUUAGAAUACCCUUUUUCUACUAUAUUUUUAGAGAGAGAUCAGUGAUCAUGAGUAUUUGCACUACUAAGGAGGCAGAAUCCCCGCUGGUAGUUUUUACAGGGAUUGCUCUUCAGCAGAGUCGUUGAAUGCACCGGCGCUGUCAGCACAGAGCAAACAGCGAGGGCACACGAGAUAAACGUUUCAUUCACCUAACGGUCAAUUAUAAUUGAUGCAAAGCUACAAAAAACAUCAAGAUGGAUUUGAUGGAGGUGCAUUUGCAAACGUGUCCUCCCCUCCUGGAAACAGUCCCGAGAUACUUAUAAAUCAGCAGCCGGUCACACGAAGGGGAUGAACUCAUCGCUCAGGCUUCAAACGGAGAAACGCAGCUUCCCCGGGCAGCCCAGAACUGCUCCCCACAAUCCACACCGGAGCAGAGGCAGCUUAUCCAAAUAAAAUAUACCUGGAAUGCAAACUGGGGCAAAUCAAGAUUAAGGCCAAACUUUGCCGUCUGUACCACUCAAGGCCCUUUAACUUGAAUUCACAAACUUCAUGUUCUCUUCCUCUCUUUUUCCCCACUUACUGCACCAUUUACCUAAAACUUAAGGUUUUUAAGAGCACAGCCCCAUAAAUGUAUUUAUACAAAACUCCUCUCCGUACCACUGGUAACACCAGCAUCCAUAC